AUUGAACGCUGGCGGCAGGCCUAACACAUGCGAGUCGAGCGGAUGAAGGGAGCUUGCUCCUGGAUUCAGCGGUGGACGGGUGAGUAAUGCCUAGGAAUCUGCCUGGUAGUGGGGGAUAACGUCCGGAAACGGGCGCUAAUACCGCAUACGUCCUGAGGGAGAAAGUGGGGGAUCUUCGGACCUCACGCUAUCAGAUGAGCCUAGGUCGGAUUAGCUAGUUGGUGGGGUAAAGGCCUACCAAGGCGACGAUCCGUAACUGGUCUGAGAGGAUGAUCAGUCACACUGGAACUGAGACACGGUCCAGACUCCUACGGGAGGCAGCAGUGGGGAAUAUUGGACAAUGGGCGAAAGCCUGAUCCAGCCAUGCCGCGUGUGUGAAGAAGGUCUUCGGAUUGUAAAGCACUUUAAGUUGGGAGGAAGGGCAGUAAGUUAAUACCUUGCUGUUUUGACGUUACCAACAGAAUAAGCACCGGCUAACUUCGUG
rnacentral:rRNA from 1 species